rnacentral:rRNA from 1 species
AUGCACCGCCUCCUCCGCCGCACCCGUUCGGCGGACUUCGACGCACCGGCGCCCGCUCCCUUCGCCGCGGUGCCCCUCGCCGCCGCCGCGCCUGCCGCCCCCACGCCCGCGGUCACCACUCCCCCGGUCGCCACGGCCCCCGCUGCGCGCCCCGGACCCUCCACGUCCGAUCGGGGCAAAACGCCUGUUCCUGAGGGCGCCAUGGCCUCUUCCUCGUCCGCGCCCCGCCCGGCUCCUCCGCCCCCUACGGGCGUUCUGCGCACCGCUGGCAGUACUCCUGCUCCCCGUCUCGCACUCGGCGGCACCAGCGGCGCCCUCGUCCCUCUCCGCAUGGGGGGCGCCUCCGACGCCGGCCCUUCCUCCGUUGCCGGUCUCCCGCCCUCUGUCGCACACUACUUCACCUCCAAGCUCCAGCUGGAGUUGGGGAACUACUCUCGUUGGCGCCAGCUCUUCUACGUCAUCGCCUGCAAGUACGAGGUCCAGCACCACCUCGACAUCGCCACCGAGCCGCUCGGCCAGAGCGCCGUGUGGAGAAACGACGCCCUCACCAUCGUGCUGUGGAUGCAUGGCGUGGUCGACGACGACCUCCUCGACGCCGUCGCUACCCCGGCCAGCUCCGCCUACGACAUCUGGUCGCAGCUUCACCUCCUCUUCAUGGACAACCAGCCCGGGCGCGCUGUCAUCCUCGGUGCAGAAUUCCGCAGCUUCGUCCAGGGCGACCUCUCCGUCGCCGAAUACAGCAGGCGUCUCAAGUCCCUCGCAGAUGCCCUUGAGGACGUCGGCGAGCGCGUCACCGAUCAGUCCCUCAGACUUCAGCUCAUCCGUGGUCUCAACCGUAAGUUUCACGUCAUGGCUACCCUACUGCCGAUGCAAUCACCGUUCCCAACCUUCGUGCAGUCGCGCUCGAGGCUGCUCAUGGAGGAGAUUUCGGCUAACGAGCGGGCGCGGCUCGAUGGACGGCCUGAAGCCACGGCCACCGCGCUCGCCAUCGGCCACAGCCCGGACGUCUCCUCCUCCGACCGCACUCCUGAUCGCGCCUCCAUCGAUCGGGGCAAGGUGCCUGCCGCGCCGCAGUCUGGUGACCGCGACCGCGGAGGGCGUGGACGUGGGCGUGGGCGCGGCCGCGGCCGCGGCGCCCAAACUCCUGGCGGCCCCUCCUCCGGCCGCGCUGCUGCUCCUUCCGAUUUCGGCUCGUCCUCAUCACUGCCCACCGGCUACUUCGCCCCGUACGGGGCGCUCCUUCCGGGUCUUCCUCGGCCUCGCGCACCGUGGGCCGCACCGAACGCUGCGGGUGUUCUAGGCCCGCGCCCGCCACCUCCUCAUCAGGCCUACCCGGUAGCCGCCGCGGCCUCCUCCAACGGGCCGUCUUGGGAGCAGUACAACCAACUGUACGCCGCGCUGCAGAACCUCUCCGUGCAGCACCAGCAGGCCGGCGGCACACCGGACUGGUUCCUCGACACGGGCGCUACGUCGCACGUCGCUGGUAAGACGAGCUCUCUCACCUUGUAUGGUUCCCCCUCGCUGCGUCAUUCCUCAGGCAUCCUCGUAGGCGACGGCUCGCGUAUUCCUAUUACUGCCGUCGGCUCCACAUCUCUCUCCAAUUUUUCUCUCAAUGACGUUCUCGUUUCCCCUACUAUUAUCAGGAAUUUAAUCUCCGUGCGCCGUUUUACACAAGAUAACUUUGUUUCUAUAGAGUUUGACCCGUUCGGUUUUUCCGUGAAGGACCUAGCAACAGGGAGAAAAAUUCUGAGAUCCAAUAGCCACGGGGAGCUCUACCCAUUCUUCACCAACUCCGGCGUCCAAGAAGCUCUCUCCGUCGUCACCGGCGACCUCUGGCAUCAACGUUUGGGACAUGCUAGCAAUAAAUCCGUUUCUGCUUUAGCUCGUCAUUUACUUCCCUCAUGUAAUAAAGACUUGUCUAGCACCACUAUUUGCUCCUCAUGUAAAUUAGGCAAGCCGGGGGCUGCCCUUUUCCCUUUCUGUAUCAAAAACAAGUGCACCCUUUCAACUAGUUCAUUGUGA